UGCGAAUUGCAGAAUUCCGUGAGUCAUCGAAUCUUUGAACGCACAUUGCGCCCCCCGGCUUCCCGGGGGGCAUGCCUGUGCCGAGU
rnacentral:rRNA from 1 species